rnacentral:lncRNA from 1 species
AGGCUGCAGUGAAUUCUACAAAGAGGCUAUGGGAAAGAAACCUGGAAAGUACCCUUGGCUGUGUACAUUUGAGUAAAGAGAGCACUAUAAAAUCAAAAACCAAUGAAAUGGUUUCCAGAACACAGAACUAUUAAGCUUAAGAAAAGGACAGAAGGAACUGAAGAGAGAGGAACUGUUUUGGAGCAUCACACUUCCACCUCAGAAGAAAUAAGGAAGGAAGGAGGAGGGUGUUCCCACGGCUCUUCAACCAGGCCGGCUCUUCAGCCUACAUCCCCAUCUCAUCAAGUAAAAGGGAUUUUUCAACUGGACCAACCAGAUGGUUUAACAGUGCACUCCCACACCAUUCAACUACGCAAGGGAGAUACACUUAACAUAUGCAGUCGUAUAACACCUACUAACAUUUUCAAACAUUAAACCUUUAAAAAAGAGUUCUAAAGAAAUAGAAGCUUGAAGUAUCAUCUCUCAAGUAUAUAGACACUACUUCAUGGUGUGGUAAUAUAUGCAUAUAGAAGCUAGUAAACACCUCCAGGAGAUGCAAAAGGAAUUAGAACUGCCACAAGGUGCAAGCAAAACCUUGAGCUUCUUUAAAAUAUGAAGACUUCGAAGUUAUUUAUCCAAACCAACCUGAUCAUUUCUUAAGAGUGAAUAUACCUUGGAAGACGUGUCCUGCCUUUAGUAGCGUCACAAUGGAUUACAUCCUCUAUAAAGCAGUCUGGGAGGCUAACAUCUGCCACAAGACAAAUAUGGUGCCUGCCCCCAUGGAGCUCAUAUUCGAAUGGAGAAAAUGUCAACAAGUAUCCCACGGAGUGAACACUUCAAAAGGAGAAGCACAGGUGAGAAAAUCGAAUUUGGACACCGUUGAGGAGACUAUUGCAGUCAUCCAAGCUCAAGAUGGUGGAGCUUCAUCCUUGAGAAUAACCAAUGGGGAUAGAUUUAAGAGACACUUAGAGUCUGCAGCCAACAGGGCUGAAUGAGCAGAGAGUUAUGAUUCAGAAGAUCAUCUAAAAUUGAACAGCUGCCACUACUGGCAAUAAGUCUACUGCCAUUUGGUAGAUAACCUUCUUAUCACACAGAAAAAUAUCAGUACAGACAAAUAGACCGCAAAGAAAAUGAGACCAUCAGCAAAGAAGAUAAAGAAGUUUGUACAAAGCAACUUUUUAUAAAUGGAUGGCUGUCAGGCAAAAAUAAAUUUCCUGUGGACAAGACCAAGAGCAAGGCAAGAGGAAAAUAAACAUGUUUAAACUAUUGGAGAGUCCAUAAUUUAAAUAUAAACUCUUCUGUUGAGUGGUAGUGUGCACCGAAUCAGUUCCAGGGAUGGCAAUAAAUGUUACGCUGCAUUUUAGGAAGUAUGGGAGAGGAAGCUGGGGCAAGAGGAACUAAUGCAUGAUUAAUGCUAGAUAUUUGGA